rnacentral:misc_RNA from 1 species
AGAUGGAUCAUUCAUGAGUUACUAUUCACUUAAUGUGGUGGUAAAAUGCCCGUCUACCAAACGAAAUAAAUGACUCUGGUAAAAUGCCCGUCAACCAAGCGAAAUAAAUGACUCUGGUAUAAUGCCCGUCUACCAAACGAACUGAAAGACACUGGUAAAAUGCCCGUCUACCAAGCGAAAUUAAUGACUGUGGUACAAUGCCCGUCAACCAAGCGAAAUAAAUGACUCUGGUAAAAUGCCCGGUCUACCAAACGAAAUAAAUGACUCUGGUAAAAUGCACGUCUACCAAGCGAAAUAAAUGACUCUGGUAAAAUGCCCGUCUACCAAGCGAAAUAAAUGACUCUGGUAAAAUGCCCGUCUACCAAGCGAACUGAAAGACUCUGGUACAAUGCCCGUCUACCAAGCGAAAUAAAUGACUCUGGUACAAUGCCCGUCAACCAAGCGAAAUAAAUGACUCUGGUAAAAUGCCCGUCUACCAAACGAAAUAAAUGACUCUGGUAAAAUGCACGUCUACCAAGCGAAAUAAAUGACUCUGGUAAAAUGCCCGUCUACCACGCGAAAUAAGAGACUCUGGUAAAAUGACCGUCUACCACGCGAAAUAAAUGACUCUGGUAUAGCCCACGUGUGACAAAUAAAAUAAGAGACUCUGGUUUAACGCCCCUGUGCCAAAUUGAGUAAAGAGUAGUUGGUUUACGCGAGAUAUGUAAUUGUGCGAUAUUAUAUUAUAUCUUUCAGCGAUGGAUGGCUCGGAUCUCAUAACGAUGAAGAACGUAGCUAGCUGCGAAAUGCAGUGUGACAUGCAAACUUCUGUGAAUCAUUAGAUUUUUGAACGCAAAAGGUACUUCUAAAUUCUGGGAGUAUGUUUAUUUCAGUGCUUUUCUAUGUUUGUUGUCCAAAUUGGUGGUCAACGUGGAUAGUGGCUGUGAUUAUGGCCACUUCAAAAGAUUGAUUAUAGUUUUUAGGUAACGCCAAAGAAACUAUGUCAAAUGAAAUACUUUUUAAUAAGCCUGAACUUGAACAAGUAUACCCGUUGAACUUAAGCAUAUUAUUAGGCGGAGGAAAAGAAACUAACAAGGAUUUCCUUAGUAACGGCGAGUGAACAGGAAACAGCUCAAACUGAAAAUCGACAGUUUAUUGUCGAAUUGUAGUCUCAUGAAGUGCAGCCUGUAAAUAUUUGAAUUAAGUCUCUUGGAAAAGAGUACCAUAGAGGGUGAAAGUCCCGUCUUUAUUCAAAAUUAUUUACUUUCGGUGCAUUUUCAAAGAGUCGCGUUCUUUGAGAUUGGAACGCCAAGUGGGUGAUAAACUUCAUCUAAAGCUAAAUAUUAGUGGGAUUCCGAUAGCGAAUAAGUACCGUGAGGGAACGAUGAAAAGAACUUUGAAAAGAGAGUUAAAAGGUACUGAAAUUGCUGAAAGGGAAGUGGAGAGUUUCAACUGUUUAGCAACGUUCUCUAUGUGUUCGGGAUAUUUUCUUAUCCAUGAGUAUAUGGUGGAGUUUUGCGUAACACUGGAUAUGGUUGUUUAGCUUGAUUAUGGCGUUGUUUGGCUCUAUUUUAGAGCUCAAUCUUUGCUGGUUUCAAGCUGGAUAAUCUAUGUAUUUCUGUUUCAACAAUACUGUUGAAUUAUACUUUUCCAGCAAAGUUGAUUCUCUCCUCCCCCGUCUUGAAUCACGGACCAAGGAGUCUAUUUUAUGUGUGAGUACAAGGGUUGCAAACCUAUGUGCGAAAUAAAAGUAAUAGUUAGGAAGGUUUUAUACCUGCACUAACAUUCGGUCACUGAAUCGAAGUUGAACACAUAAAAUAGGACCCGAAAGAUGGUGAACUAUGCCUGAGUAGGGUGAAGCUAGAGGAAACUCUGGUGGAAGCUCGUAGCGAUACUGACGUGCAAAUCGUUCGUCAAACUUUGGUAUUGGGGCGAAAGACCAAUCGAACCAUCUAGUAGCUGGUUUAUUC